UUGUCCAAAGUGCGAAUGACUGGGAAAGCGAUCAGGAAAGCGUUCGACCAGAACAUUGUACUGGUCGACCCAGAAAUGGAUAUUCUAAGCGAGAUGUGCGAGUUCAUGGACAUCAAUGAGUGUCCGCUGGUCCUCACAGUCGGUCAUUUACCAGAGUAAUGGAAAAUUAUCUUGGAAUGCGGACCGCACAGUACUUCGAUCAACGGUUCCGUAAAUUCGACGUGCAUGCGGCAGAGCAAAAUGCUACUGUUGCACGAAUUGAACGUAUUCGUUACCGACAAAAACUUCGUCAACGGCGAAGACAUGAACUCGGACAUGAACACUUCCCUAACCGUAAUCGCCAAUGAGGACGACGACUCACAGGAAGAUAAGCUGUGGAAGCUGAACGACUAUGAAAAACCUCUCGGAAACGGGUCCAACGAGUCGGUAUUGGCGUCGGACCUCCGGGAGUUUCUACGGUAUAAUCGAAUGGAACUUCUAAUCAACGAUAUGACCCGCCGAGUCGUAAUGAGACAAACGUUCCGGCCGUAGAGCCAGUUACUCGACCUCAGGAAACCGCUAACCGUACACCAGUUUCCACGGAGUUACCCGAGACUAGGUCCAACGAGCAUCUAAAGACAUCUAGCAAUAUCCUUGAACCGCACGAGGAAUACGUCAGCAGAGCUUCCGAGAUUUUAAAACAAUGUGACGUGGGACACGUUUCAAGAGAACGCCAUACUGUUUUUCGAUUUACUCGUGCAAACGAAUCGCGCGAACCAACUUCACUUGAAGAUGAUUACCGAUUGCUUUAGUGUUAAAUGCGAUUGACAAGCCCGACAAAUGUGCCUUAUACGCGACACUGUGUUGCGACGCGAUCGAAAAAGCUUAUGCGGACUGGAGAAGAACCGUACGUCAAGGGUUGUGGAGCGCGUUCAAAAUUGAGUUGAUACAAUCUUGCAGAAACGUGUUGACUGAAGGAAUAUUGCCUCGGGUGGAAACGUCUCGACAACCCCAGGACCUUGGGCGAUCGGAACAGAUGUUCGAUAUAAAAGCUCGUGACCGUACGCAAGUAACGUGCAGGCUUUUGGGUGAGCUGUUCAUACGAGGCCAAAUGUUCAAAAUCGUAUUGAAUAUUGCCGAUACAUUCAUGGAGAUACACGACGCGCAUUCGUUGGAGUGUCUCUGCGUUUUGUUGAUCAUAAUCGAACCUAAGCUCGAAAAAGUAAUAUGAACAGUGGCGGACGCAGGGAGGGGUUUUGGAGGUUCAACCCCUCCCGAAAUGAAUGGAUGAUUAAUUUCAAAUGUAGUUAUCCUACCUU